rnacentral:rRNA from 1 species
UGAAGAGUUUGAUCAUGGCUCAGAUUGAACGCUGGCGGCAGGCCUAACACAUGCAAGUCGAACGGUAACAGGAAGCAGCUUGCUGCUUUGCUGACGAGUGGCGGACGGGUGAGUAAUGUCUGGGAAACUGCCUGAUGGAGGGGGAUAACUACUGGAAACGGUGGCUAAUACCGCAUAACGUCGCAAGACCAAAGAGGGGGACCUUCGGGCCUCUUGCCAUCAGAUGUGCCCAGAUGGGAUUAGCUUGUUGGUGAGGUAACGGCUCACCAAGGCGACGAUCCCUAGCUGGUCUGAGAGGAUGACCAGCCACACUGGAACUGAGACACGGUCCAGACUCCUACGGGAGGCAGCAGUGGGGAA